rnacentral:rRNA from 1 species
CGUUUUUUGUUAAUAAUUUAAGAUCGGACCUGCCCUAUGAUAUUUAAAUGGCCGCAGUAUUUUGACUGUGCUAAGGUAGCAUAAUCACUAGUUUUUUAAUUGGAAGCUUGUAUGAAAGGUUUGAUGAAAAAAUUACUGUCUCUGGAAGAAUUUGUUAUAAUUUUAUUUUUAAGUAAAAAAGCUUAAAUAAACUUAAAAGACGAGAAGACCCUAUAGAGUUUUAUAGUUAAUUUAAGUAGAAGGUUAUAGGAGUUAAAAUCUGCUUUUGUUAACUAUUUGGUUGGGGUGAUUAGAAAAUUUAUUUAACUUUUCUUGGCUAAUUUACACUGAUUAGUGAUUUUAAGAUCUUUAUUUUGAUUGUAAGAAUAAAUUACCUUAGGGAUAACAGCGUAAUCGCCUUUUAGAGUUCUUAUCGGAAAGGCGGGUUGCGA